rnacentral:rRNA from 1 species
GACGAACGCUGGCGGCGUGCCUAAUACAUGCAAGUAGAACGAGUUGCGAACGGGGGAGUAACGCGUAGGUAACUGCCUCAUAGCGGGGGAUAAAUAUUGGGGACGAUAGCUAAUACCGCAUACUGUGAGCUGGACCUGCGUUGGAUUAGCUAGUUGGUGAGGUAAAGGCCCACCAAGGCGACGAUACAUAGCCGGCCUGAGAGGGUGAUCGGCCACACUGGGACUGAGACACGGCCCAGACUCCUACGGGAGGCAGCAGUGGGGAAUCUUCGGCAAUGGACGCAAGUCUGACCGAGCAACGCCGCGUGAGUGAUGACGGUUUUCGGGUUGUAAAGCUCUGUUAUUCGAGACGCGGUACCGAAACAGAAAGGCACGGCUAACUACGUGCCAGCAGCCGCGGUAAUAC